rnacentral:lncRNA from 1 species
CACUAGUAAUAAUAACUGGGCUUAAGCAUUUUGGGCCGGUUGUUGGGCCCAACGAGUUAUUGUUGCUAGUGGGCUGGGUCGUUACAUUUGGUAUCAGAGCCGGUUCACCAGCUGGACAUGUGUGGCGAGUCUCGGCUGAGCCAGGGUCUGGAUGACGGGCUAGCGAGACGAGUCUCACAUCACCUGGUGAUCUUGGGCUGUGUGUGUGAUUGGACUGACGAGGACGUCAGGGUCUUAACGGGGAGAGUCUGUGACACCCCAAUAAUCCCACAUCGGAUGGGAAUGGGGUUGUCAUUGGGUUUAUAAGAGACUUAGACACUAGUAAUAAUAACUGGGCUUAAGCAUUUUGGGCCGGUUGUUGGGCCCAACGAGUUAUUGUUGCUAGUGGGCUGGGUCGUUACAUUUGGUAUCAGAGCCGGUUCACCAGCUGGACAUGUGUGGCGAGUCUCGGCUGAGCCAGGGUCUGGAUGACGGGCUAGCGAGACGAGUCUCACAUCACCUGGUGAUCUUGGGCUGUGUGUGUGAUUGGACUGACGAGGACGUCAGGGUCUUAACGGGGAGAGUCUGUGACACCCCAAUAAUUCCACAUCGGAUGGGAAUGGGGUUGUCAUUGGGUUUAUAAGAGACUUAGACACUAGUAAUAAUAACUGGGCUUAAGCAUUUUGGGCGGGUUGUUUGGGCCCAACGAGUUAUUGUUGCUAGCGGGU